AUUGAACGCUGGCGGCAUGCUUUACACAUGCAAGUCGAACGGCAGCGCGGGCUGCGGCCUGGCGGCGAGUGGCGAACGGGUGAGUAAGGCAUCGGAAGGUGCCCAGUAGUGGGGGAUAGGACGGCGAAAGCCGGAUGAAUACCGCAUACGACCUGAGGGUGAAAGGGGGGGACCGAAAGGGCUAGCGGGAUUGGAGCGGCCGAUGACGGAUUAGCGAGUUGGUGGGGUAAAGGCUUACCAAGGCGACGAUCCGUAGCUGGUCUGAGAGGACGACCAGCCACACUGGGACUGAGACACGGCCCAGACUCCUACGGGAGGCAGCAGUGGGGAAUUUUCGGCAAUGGGGGCAACCCUGACGCAGCCAUGCCGCGUGCGGGAUGAAGGCCUUCGGGUCGUAAAACGCUUUUGUUCGGGAAGAACUCCUCUGUGCUAAUCCACCGGCGGCAUGACGGUACCGGAACAAUAAGCAACGGCUAACUACGUG
rnacentral:rRNA from 1 species